AAACCAGCACCUCAAGUGGUCAGGAUGAUUAUUGGGCCUAAAGCAUCCGUAGCCGGCUCUGUAAGUUUUCGGUUAAAUCUGUACGCUCAACGUACAGGCUGCUGGGAAUACUGCAGGGUUAGGGAGUGGGAGAGAUAGACGGUACUCGGGAGGAAGUGGUAAAAUGCUUUGAUCUCUCGAUGACCACCUGUGGCGAAGGCGGUCUAUCAGAACACGUCCGACGGUGAGGGAUGAAAGCUGGGGGAGCAAACCGGAUUAGAAACCCGGGUAGUCC
rnacentral:rRNA from 1 species